AAUCCAUCUGGAUCCCCAGAAAUCAGAUUAGGAGCAGGGGCAUUUUUAGCUUCUUCUUGUGCACAAGAUAAACAGGCACCUAACACUGCACAAAUAACAUUUUUAGCUUUUCCCACUCUGAUCUUUUGUAAAGCCUGACAUUGUUCAAUACGUUCUACCACUUUCUC